rnacentral:tRNA from 1 species
GGGCUGUUAACUCAAUCGGUUAGAGUAGCACUCUCUUAAAGUGAAGGUUCAGGGUUCGAUUCCCUGACAGCCCACCA